AGGGAAUUGCAAUUAUUUCCCUUAAACGAGCAAUUCCCAGUAAGCGCGAGUCAUUAGCUCGCGUUGAUUACGUCCCUGCCCUUUGUACACACCGCCCGUCGCUACUACCGAUUGAAUGGUUUAGUCAGGUCCUCCGAUUGGACCCGGUCCGGGCGGCGACGUCCGAGCCGGCGUCCGAGAAGACGAUCUAACUUGAUCAUUUAGAGGAAGUAAAAGUCGUAACAAGGUUUCCGUAGGUGAACCUGCGGAAGGAUCAUUA
rnacentral:ncRNA from 1 species